AAAAGCAGCAAAUUCGACAGCAUGUCGUUAUCGUUGUAAGAACGAAUAGUACUUCUUCCAACGACUGAAUGGCGUUGCGUUUGUUUAAGUUGUCUCUAACAGAAAUACGAGAUGGUCAACGUAUAUAGAAACUGGACUUUUUAAGAGUCCUUGGUAGUAGAAAAAAGCUUAAUUUGCUAUUUAGUGUUUUUUUUCUAUCGCUACCCAUUUUAAUGCUAGAGGAUGAGAAGGUGAAAUUGAUGUCCUGUUCUUGGAAAAUUUUGCUAUGAAACUAAAGCAACUACUAUCAAAAUGAUAUUGGAAUGUUCUUUUUUACCCCAACUUUUGUACCUGCAAGCAGAUGCCAAAGCUAUAAAAGAUUUAUUGUUUUCGCAUAAAAAUUAGGAGGAUUACUGUGUCAAAUUUUAUACAAGCAAUCAAUCUAUCUACAAAGUC
rnacentral:misc_RNA from 1 species